UACGUAGGUGGCAAGCGUUGUCCGGAUUUAUUGGGCUUAAAGGGUGCGUAGGCGGCCCUGUAAGUCAGUUGUGAAAUACGGCAGCUUAACUGUCGAGGUGCAAUUGAUACUGCAGGGCUUGAGUACUGAUGAGGUAGGCGGAAUGGACGGUGUAGCGGUGAAAUGCUUAGAGAUCGUGAAGAACACCGAUAGCGAAGGCAGCUUACUAAGGAGUAACUGACGCUGAGGCACGAAAGUGUGGGGAGCAAACAGG
rnacentral:rRNA from 1 species